rnacentral:rRNA from 1 species
AUUUGUCACCGUAUCAGCCUGAACACACCUAAUCUUUUCUGGUUUCAGAAGCUAGGCAAGAUUGAGCCUGUAAUACUUGGAUGAGAGAUA